rnacentral:rRNA from 1 species
UAAUACGUAGGUGGCGAGCGUUAUCCGGAAUUAUUGGGCGUAAAGCGCGCGCAGGCGGUUUCUUAAGUCUGAUGUGAAAGCCCACGGCUCAACCGUGGAGGGUCAUUGGAAACUGGGAAACUUGAGUGCAGAAGAGGAAAGCGGAAUUCCACGUGUAGCGGUGAAAUGCGUAGAGAUGUGGAGGAACACCAGUGGCGAAGGCGGCUUUCUGGUCUGUAACUGACGCUGAGGCGCGAAAGCGUGGGGAGCAAACAGGAUUAGAUACCCUGGUAGUCCACGCCGUAAACGAUGAGUGCUAAGUGUUAGAGGGUUUCCGCCCUUUAGUGCUGAAGUUAACGCAUUAAGCACUCCGCCUGGGGAGUACGGUCGCAAGACU